GGAUUAGCUAGUUGGUGGGGUAAAGGCCUACCAAGGCGACGAUCUGUAGCGGGUCUGAGAGGAUGAUCCGCCACACUGGGACUGAGACACGGCCCAGACUCCUACGGGAGGCAGCAGUGGGGAAUAUUGGACAAUGGGGGGAACCCUGAUCCAGCCAUGCCGCGCGUGCGAAGAAGGCCUUAUGGUUGUAAAGCACUUAAGCGAGGAGGAGGCUACUGAGACUAAUACUCUUGGAUAGAGGACGUUACUCGCAGA
rnacentral:rRNA from 1 species